CCUACGGGAGGCAGCAGUGGGGAAUAUUGCGCAAUGGGCGAAAGCCUGACGCAGCGACGCCGCGUGAGGGAUGAAGGUCUUCGGAUCGUAAACCUCUGUCAGCAGGGAAGAACGGUCACUGUGCUAAUCAGCAGUGAAUUGACGGUACCUGCAAAGGAAGCACCGGUUAACUCCGUGCCAGCAGCCGCGGUAAUACGGAGGGUGCGAGCGUUAAUCGGAAUUAGUGGGCGUAAAGCGCUCGUAGGCGGUAUGUCAAGUCAAGGGUAAAAUCGCGGGGCUCAACGUGGGAGGGGCGUUGGAACUGGGGGAAGUGAGUAUGCGCAGGGUAUAUGGAAUUCGGGGUGGAGAGGUGAAAUGCUUAGAGAGAACGAAGAACGCCGAUAGCGAAGGCAUUGUAAAGGAGCAAGACGGACGCUGAGGCUCGAAAGUGCGGGUAUCAAACAGGAUUAGAUACCCGAGUAGGC
rnacentral:rRNA from 1 species